GUCUGCUUUGGCAGCAUGUAUAUAAAAUUUGAAUGAUACAGAGAAGAUUAGCAUGGCCCCUGUUCAAAGAUAACAUGCAAAUCUGAGAGGCCCUCCAUAGUUUU
ensembl:snRNA U6 U6 spliceosomal RNA